rnacentral:rRNA from 1 species
CGAACGGGUGCGUAACACGUGAGGAACUGCCCCCGAAGACCGGGAUAGCCCGAGGAAACUCGGAUUAAUACCGGGAUACCCUCUUUGGACCACAUGGUCUAUUGAGGAAAUGGUCCGCCGCUUCGGGAUGGCCUCGCGGCCUAUCAGCUUGUUGGUGAGGUAAUGGCUCACCAAGGCCGAGACGGGUAGCUGGUCUGAGAGGACGAUCAGCCACACUGGGACUGAGACACGGCCCCAGACUCCUACGGGAGGCAGCAGCAGGGAAUAUUGCACAAUGGGCGAAAGCCUGAUGCAGCGACACCGCGUGCGGGAUGAAGGCCUUCGGGUUGUAAACCGCUUUCAGGAGGGACGAAAAUGACGGUACCUCCAGAAGAAGGCCCGGCCAACUACGUGCCAGCAGCCGCGGUAAUACGUAGGGGCCAAACGUUGUCCGGAUUUAUUGGGCGUAAAGGGCUCGUAGGCGGUUCAAAAAGUCGGUCGUGAAAACCCGGGGCUCAACCCCGGGACGCCGGUCGAAACUGUUGUGACUAGGGUCCGGUAGAGGUGAGUGGAAUUCUCGGUGUAGCGGUGGAAUGCGCAGAUAUCGAGAGGAACACCGGUAGCGAAGGCGGCUCACUGGGCCGGUACCGACGCUGAGGAGCGAAAGCAUGGGGAGCAAACAGGAUUAGAUACCC